rnacentral:rRNA from 2 species
UGGUGGGUAGUUUGACUGGGGCGGUCUCCUCCCAAAGAGUAACGGAGGAGCACGAAGGUUAGCUAAUCCUGGUCGGACAUCAGGAGGUUAGUGCAAUGGCAUAAGCUAGCUUGACUGCGAGAGUGACGGCUCGAGCAGGUGCGAAAGCAGGUCAUAGUGAUCCGGUGGUUCUGAAUGGAAGGGCCAUCGCUCAACGGAUAAAAGGUACUCCGGGGAUAACAGGCUGAUACCGCCCAAGAGUUCAUAUCGACGGCGGUGUUUGGCACCUCGAUGUCGGCUCAUCACAUCCUGGGGCUGAAGUAGGUCCCAAGGGUAUGGCUGUUCGCCAUUUAAAGUGGUACGCGAGCUGGGUUUAGAACGUCGUGAGACAGUUCGGUCCCUAUCUGCCGUGGGCGCUGGAGAAUUGAGGGGGGCUGCUCCUAGUACGAGAGGACCGGAGUGGACGCAUCACUGGUGUUCGGGUUGUCAUGCCAAUGGCACU